rnacentral:rRNA from 1 species
UUAGAGUUUGAUCCUGGCUCAGGACGAACGCUGGCGGCGUGCCUAACACAUGCAAGUCGAGCGAAUGAAAUUCCUUCGGGAACGGAUUUAGCGGCGGACGGGUGAGUAACACGUGGGCAACCUGCCUCAUAGAGGGGAAUAGCCUUCCGAAAGGGAGAUUAAUACCGCAUAAGAUUGUAGUACCGCAUGGUACAGCAAUUAAAGGAGCAAUCCGCUAUGAGAUGGGCCCGCGGCGCAUUAGCUAGUUGGUGAGGUAACGGCUCACCAAGGCGACGAUGCGUAGCCGACCUGAGAGGGUGAUCGGCCACAUUGGGACUGAGACACGGCCCAGACUCCUACGGGAGGCAGCAGUGGGGAAUAUUGCACAAUGGGGGAAACCCUGAUGCAGCAACGCCGCGUGAGUGAUGACGGCCUUCGGGUUGUAAAGCUCUGUCUUCAGGGACGAUAAUGACGGUACCUGAGGAGGAAGCCACGGCUAACUACGUGCCAGCAGCCGCGGUAAUACGUAGGUGGCGAGCGUUGUCCGGAUUUACUGGGCGUAAAGGGAGCGUAGGCGGAUUUUUUAAGUGAGAUGUGAAAUACCCGGGCUUUACCUGAGUGCUGCAUUUCAAACUGGAAGUCUAGAGUGCAGGAGAGGAGAAGGGAAUUCCUAGUGGUAGCGGGGAAAUGCGUAAAGAUUAGGAAAAACACCAGGGGGGAAGGGGCUUCUCGGGACUGGAAUUGACGCUGAGGCUCAAAAGCGGGGGGAAGCAAACAAGGAUUAAAUAACCCUGG